rnacentral:tRNA from 1 species
GGCGGUGUAGCUCAAUUGAUAGAGCACUAUGACAUGCUUCUUAGAUGUCCGGGGUUUAAUUCCUUGCAUCUCCA